ACAGUUUUAAUAAAUCAACCCGGCUUAUUUAUUUAUUUUUUUAAACAUCUCCGUCCUGGUAAAAAAGACUAACAUGGGAAGCCACCCUCUAAGGCACGCAAAGAAUUUUAAGAAGCGACAUCAGAGAAAAUUGCCUCUGCGGGCCCUUACAGAACGAUAAUUUAAACUUUUUCUCUUCUUGGUGAUAAAAGGGGGUCGAGGGACUUAGAAAUAUUGGUGGGAGGUUGAUUGGAAAAGAUCCGCCCAUUGGAGGGCAGAGCCCCCCGUGCGCUUGACAGGAAUCCGGGAGGCCUCGCGCUUGGUGCUGGAAAGCGGAGCGCUGGCUGGCCGUGUGGCGGGCAGGCUGGAAGAACGUCGAGUGCGAGAUACGGUGACGACACACUCUCAACGUGACUACGGCGGCCCGUCGUGGCUUCCUGCGCCUGUCGCAGAGCUCGGAAAAACUACAGUCCCGCGUGAUGAAAGGUCACCACCACUGGAUACGGCAAUAGAUGCUCGCUUUUUUUUACUCCAGAUGCAAAAGGGGGAGAUGAAGAAGAGAGAGGGCGUGGCACCUUCAGAACAAGACUUUUCAACUACAAUGAUUUCUUUUUCCUCUACUCGACCAGUCGCUGUGAGCUAGGACGCAGAUGGGCUAAAGAGAUCAAAGGCCUGGGGAACCCCAGGGAAUCCCUAGCCAUGAACCAACUGGCAUGCUCGGGGAAACAAUCUUGGAGUCUACCUGUGAAACCUGCUCGUGGCCUCGCAGUACUAUGAACACCAGCUGCAGCAGCAGCGGCAAAGGCCACACGCACAACGGUUCACCGUCGCAAAGACAAGAGGAGCAGCGAACGUCACGCCCAAACUUUUUUUUUGUGUGUGAGGCCAUCAUCAUCCAUCAGCCCGUUUCCUUCAGCUUCGUUUGGGAGACAACCGACGGCAUAUCGCAGAUACAAGACGCAGUCCCGGCCUGGUGCGGAGCAAUAAACAAGUGACGAUCAAUAAAGAAACAUCUAUUACGCCAGCCCGCCUGUACUCCAACAUCUUGUCUCCAGACACAACUUGGGUACAGCAACCCCCAUACACCCGAGCGAUUGUUUCAGCUGCUACAGCAGGGAGAGAACCAACAGAGCUGUCAUUUCCAGAGCAAACGACUGCUGAAAGGUGGGGUGGGGGAGGGGUGCACUUAAGUGGAAGCCUGGCCGGUGCCGACAGAAAGCCAUGUGCAUGUGUUCCCAGCGCACUUUCAGGCGCAGUGUGAUGCGAGAGCUCGUGUUGAUAUUCGCCGUCUCCUGUAUGGACAUAAAGGGGCAUUCACCGCGAUAAAAGACCUACUCGACCGGAAAUAAGCUCGGAAGCAUUAUCCAUUUGAAUUGUAAUCACGUGCAGUGGAGCGCUACCUCGCGACGCACACCAUGUGAAGAAGAAUGUGAAAGAAAUGUGAACACGUCGCUUGACGAGCUCAGACGAGGGUGUGUGUGUGGUUUUCAUGUCGUUUCCACCCCUCUACCCCCUCCCCCUGUUGACAAAGGGGGCAGUGUUUCAGUUCAAUCAUGCCUGCAUGUGAUUUGGGGAUCCUUUCGCGACCAACUGGCCUGACAAGCCGAGUGGAUUAUAUAUAUACACCAGAGCCUACUCGCGAACAUGUUGACUGCCGAAUGCAUUGCAAGACUUCUGCCAACAACGGGCCCAGUAUUAUCGCAUUCACAGCGCGCAGGAUGCAGUUACAAGUGAAUCGACAAAGGGCAGCGGCUGCUACAGGCGGUAAUGAAGGCUUUGACAAGACAGUUCAGAGCAUGCGACCCCGCCCAUCCUGAGACGGCGAAGACACGAGGUAAGUCUGUGAAGAAAGCAGAAGUUACAGAUGAUAUGCUGUGGCUAAAAGAGCGCUAUUUUUACUGUUUGAAGAAAUCAAGCACAUUUCUUCUUCAUACAGCAGACCUCUGAAAGACUAAAUCCUGCCUCAAUAAAACAGGUAUGCUGUCUUACCUGGUCUUGGUUCCAUACUGUUGGGCAUUGGUAUCUGACCUGCUGCCGACCCAGGUGGCUACAAAGGAGAAAGAAAAGAAAAAUUCGUCAAGCUCAACACUACACCAAAAACCUCUUGUCUUAACUGAGGGAAAAGGACUACAUCCUGGUGAUGGGAGAGAUGGCCAGGAUCUUAAGCAAAGGUCAGAUAAUGCUUUGAGGAUUCUACUUUCACUGCUUUUUUGGUCUUUUGGAAUGAUCAGCUACUCUCCACAAACUGCCUGGCAGGCAGAGGAAGUUUUACUAGCACCAGUCGAAACAAGUCUCAAACAUACAACCUUCUGUUCUAAAGGUUGAUCAACAC
rnacentral:lncRNA from 1 species